UACGUAGGGUGCAAGCGUUGUCCGGAUUUAUUGGGCGUAAAGAGCUCGUAGGCGGUUUGUCGCGUCUGCUGUGAAAACCCGAGGCUCAACCUCGGGCCUGCAGUGGGUACGGGCAGACUAGAGUGCGGUAGGGGAGAUUGGAAUUCCUGGUGUAGCGGUGAAAUGCGCAGAUAUCAGGAGGAACACCGGUGGCGAAGGCGGGUCUCUGGGCCGUAACUGACGCUGAGGAGCGAAAGCGUGGGGAGCGAACAGG
rnacentral:rRNA from 1 species